AGCAGCCGCGGUAAUUCCAGCUCCAAUAGCGUAUAUUAAAGUUGUUGCAGUUAAAAAGCUCGUAGUUGAAUUUCGGGGUUAGUAGGUUGGUCAUGCCUCUGGUAUGUACUGGUCUCACUGAUUCCUCCUUCUUUAUGAACCGUAAUGCCAUUAAUUUGGUGUUGCGGGGAAUUUGGACUGUUACUUUGAAAAAAUUAGAGUGUUUAAAGCAAGCUAACGCUUGAAUACAUUAGCAUGGAAUAAUGAAAUAGGACGUUCGAUCUUAUUUUGUGGUUUCUAGGAUUGACGUAAUGAUUAAUAGGGAUAGUUGGGGCAUUAGUAUUCAAUUGUCAGAGGUGAAAUUCUUGGAUUUAUUGAAGACUAACUACUGCGAAAGCAUUUGCCAAGGAUGUUUUCAUUAAUCAAGAGCGAAAGUUAGGGAUCGAAGACGAUCAGAUACCGUCGUAGU
rnacentral:rRNA from 1 species